CCUACGGGCGGCAGCAGUGAGGAAUAUUGGUCAAUGGUCGGGAGACUGAACCAGCCAAGCCGCGUGAGGGAGGAAGGUACAGAGUAUCGUAAACCUCUUUUGUCAGGGAACAAAGACUGUGACGCGUCCCCGGAGGAGUGUACCUGAAGAAAAAGCAUCGGUUAACUCCGUGCCAGCACCCGCGGUAAUACGGGGGAUGCGAGUGUUAUCCGGAUUGAUUGGGUUAAAGGGGUGCGCAGGGGGGCUGUUAAGUCAGCUGUAAAAGCCCGGGGCUCACCCCCGGCCCGCCGGUGAAACUGGCAGUCUCGAGUUGGAGAGAAGUAGGCGGAAUGCGAGGUAUAGCGGUGAAAUGCAUAGAUAUCGCGCAGAACUCCGGUGGCGAAGGCAGCAUGCCGGCUCCACACUGACGCUGAGGCACGAAAGCGUGGGUAUCGAACAGGAUUAGAUACCCUAGUAGUC
rnacentral:rRNA from 1 species